UCCACACUCCACACUCCACAGCCACAGCUUCUCCUCCUCCUCCGAUUCCUGCUCAAUCAUCGUCCCUCCAGCUCUGGUGGUGGACGGCCGGCGGCGCGGGGGCUGCUGCUGCGUGCGUGCGUGCGUGCACCUGUAUGUUGGCGGGCAGCUCCCGCGGCGCGGCGCAUGGCGACCAACAUGUACGGCGGCGCCACGGUGGCCUGCAGGGUGUGCUACAGGGACCAGUACGGGACGCCGCCGCGGGAGCUCGGCUGCAACACGCCCUGGAGGGGGAAGGGGACGAGCGGGUACCGCGUGAUCUCCAGGCUCUGCCACUGGGAAUCCACGGGGAGGAGGUCUGGUGCUGAUGCCCGGCGAGGCUGCGAGGUCCGGUGCCGCUCCUGUGGUUCUCGGAAUGGCGGGGAGACCACGGAGUGCGAGAGCUCUGAAGAUGGCGCCAACCCUUACAGAGAUAUCAAACAAAAUUCAAGGGGAAAUACUCAAUUCUCAGAUGACCAAGUCGCUUCUAAGAAGAAGUCAGCCUAUGCUAGUCAAGGGUUGGCCGAAGCCUGCAAAUUUGUUUACAACGAUGCAAAGUUUGUAAACGAAAGGGCUCAAAAUGACAUUCUAUUACUUUCACGUGGCAUAACAAAGCUGAACAAACGUGCAUGCGAGGAUGCUGCUGUUUUAGGCUUGGGGUUUCUCAAGCUUGAUGCCCGCGCACGCAAGGAUACUCAAAAGAUUGACCACAGCGUGAAGGAGAGGGCAGUCCGCCUUAAUCAUUUUGCUAGAGUAUUCAAGGAACGAGCUGAGUCAGACUUGAAGAAAGCUGCAGACCAACAUUGGAGUGAUGGUGCUUUAGAGGCAGAUUUGCGACGAGCUGACUUGGUUGUUAAACGACGUGCCAUGGAAGAUGCUUUCAUGGCAUUGAAGUUUGUUCGGGAUAUCCAUGACAUGAUGGUGAACAGAUUAUAUGAGCAGCUUCCAAAGGAUGGUGCAUCUUCUCAUACAAAUUCAACGGGGUUUAUUACACUCGAGAAGAAUGGGAAGACUCUUGAACUGUUUCCUGGUGAAGUUUCUGCUGAUCAGAUUUAUGCCAUAGAGGAAGCAUACCGAAGUAUGGAAUCUGCCUUUUCUGAAGCUGAUGGUAUUGACUACACAGAUCCUGAGGAGCUUGAAUUGCUAGUAGCAACACUUAUUGACCUGGAUGCUAUGGAUGGAAAAAGAAGUGUUUCCUUGAUAGCUGAAUGUUCAAGCUCUCCGGAUGUUAAUACUAGGAAAGCCCUUGCUAAUGCAUUGGCUACAGCUCCAUCUAUGUGGACUCUUGGGAAUGCUGGCAUGGGUGCACUGCAGACGGCCUAGCAAAGUGGGAAGGGUAGAUAAGACAACAAAACGUGGGUCUCAGUAUCGAGAGAGCGGGAUAUAUGCCACAACCAAAUCUGCACAUGAUUAACGAAUUUCACAUUUCAACCAUCUUUGUUCCAGUCAAUACAAACAGAAGAAAUUUCUGUCUGAAGCUCACUUCAUGAGAUUGGCUCAAGAUCCCAAUUAUGCUGUUGCUAGGGCUGCAUCGAGAGCCAUUGAUGAACUGAAGAAGCAGUGGGAACUUGAAGAAGGCGACAGCCUGAGGUUUGUAAUGAACCAAAAUUUGGUUUCUGAGGGAACUGAUGAUGAAAGUUCAGCAGCAGACGACACAACGUGAGGUGCAAACAAGAUGAAAGAUUUCAGUUCCCAAAGUACCGAUGUACCAAAGCAUAACAAAACAUCAUGAGCUGCACAUAACGCAUUCAUUCCUUACAUGUCUACAUGCCAUUAGGAUGCCAUGUAGACAUGUAAGGAAUUUCAGAUAUACUUAGUCGAAGGUGGGAAAAACAAUUUGCUCUGCUAGCAGAAUUCAUGUCUAGGACAAAGUAAUUUUGCGGAACAGCGUAAAUAGCAGAAAUCUGUUCCCUUUGGACAUUGUUCGUAUAUGCACUCUGUUGUGUGGUUGUGGCUGAUGACUGAUGCAGAUUUGCUGUGAGAGAAAAGUACUUAUUUUGGUGCUGGUUUGGUGUGAGAGGAAUGUACUGCUGAUGGUUGCCAUCAGAACAGAGCAAUAAAAGCAAAAGAUUAUGUUCUUAGA